GCUUACGGCCAUACCAGCCUGAAUACACCUGAUCUCGUCUGGUUUCGGAAGUUAAGCAGGGUCGGGCCUGGUUAGUACUUGGAUGGGAGACCGCCUGGGAAUACCAGGUGUUGUAAGCU
rnacentral:rRNA from 1 species